GACGUAGGGGCGAGCGUUGUCCGGAUUUAUUGGGCGUAAAGCGCGCGUAUGCGGCCGCGCAAGUCGGAUGUGAAAUCCCUCGGCUCAACCGAGGAACUGCAUCCGAUACUGGCGGGCUUGAAUCCGGGAGAGGGAUGUGGAAUUCCAGGUGUAGCGGUGAAAUGCGUAGAUAUCAGGAGGAACACCUACGGUGUAGACGGCUUCUGGACCAUAACUGACGCUGAGGCACGAAAGCGUGGGUAGCAAACAGG
rnacentral:rRNA from 1 species